CAAGCUACUCUUCAAACAACUCAACUCAAUCCACCAUUACAUAAGGAGAUUCAAAAUUAGUGUUGAAUAAAGGCUAAAUCUGCAACUUAAACUUGUAGCUCGUUUAUAUCAAUUCGGGCAGCAUCUCCCCUGUAACAAGAGUCUCCUCCAAUAUAAUAUACCCACAAAAAUUACCAGAGAAAUCCAGUAAUACAUAAUCAUCAAUAACAAGAUACCAUAAAACAACAAGUCAUAACUAUUUUACGACGAGCGACAAGCUCCAAUUGGAAUUCGUAUACCCCAUAUCAUCCCUUAUAGACUUUUUACUUUAACUUAAUAGUAUUAUUAAAAUGAUAAUGAAGUCAUUCAUCAGUAAUUCCAUCCUUAUACCAUAUAUCCAUAACAAAGAAAAUGAUCCACAACUCCAAUUAUUCUUAAUUGGCAACUUUAUUCACUAGUUCAUGUCUAGUUCAUCCAUUUAACUCAACCGAUGUCAAUAUAACCUUAAGAACUUGUUGGAACACAAUAUAAUUACCUCCUACAGUAGAUGCAAGUCGAAAUCCAUGUUUUAUUUAGCUUACAAUAGCCCAACAUACCCCAAUCAAUUCAUACCAAAAACAACGACUAUAGUAGUGUCCAACACCCCGAAAGUAUUAUAAAGAAUGACUAAUCCAUUAUUUCACCAAUAUGUGGUGUUUCUACACACCAUUUAUCCUCCAAAAACUCCAUUAAAUAGCAGCAAAAUAUACAGCUCAAAAGCUACAUGAAACAGCCCACAAAACAGUCCAUUACAAAUCAAAUAACUCGAACUCACGGCUUCCGAUCACCGUCCCGUGAGUUCUAAAUAUUAUGAAAUGAAUUAAUCAACCUUAAUUGAUAUUUAAGAUCUUGAAACCAGAAAUUAGGCAUUUUUAUUAACUUCAAAACACCUUCCAAAACUCAAACUACAAAGAAAAAGAGAGGUUAUAUAGCAAUACUUACGUCGUGGGGAUCGUUCUUGUGUUAUUGCUUUGGGAUUUCGUGCCUCGGAUGAUAGUAUCGUUGAAAACCUUACGGAGGACUUUAGGAUGAGUUUAGGGGUGUUAUAUGGUCGAGCUCUCUGGAAAACCAAACUAAGAGACGAGACAGAGAGAUAAACAUCCCCUUUUCUAAAAGUCAAAAAGGUGCCACG
rnacentral:lncRNA from 1 species